AGUACCAAAAACAACUGAGAAAGGGGCCGCAGCUCCGGCCUUCAUCUGCUAUUGCAAAUUCGGAGCAGGAUGCUGGUGGGGGGUGGGGGAGUAAAGAGAACGGGCCGUUUCUUUGUGUGUCCACUUCGUAGAAACCCAGGCAAGAGUACCCAAGCAGACCUCUGCUUAAAGCAAAAACAGACCAAAGUUGUUUUCCCCUCAAUACGGUGAUCAUCCCCAGGUUUAGCAGAGAGAAUCUAAGCAAUGACCCGUGCAAACACAGCAAGGAUACCGACAAACACUGGAGCUCAACUGUGGAGUUUUAGUCGUGGCUGAGUUUCGGUGGCCUUGCUUCAACCCCAUCGGGGUUUUGAACACCUUCGGGGGGAAGACGCGAGUCUGCUCACGUGGUGCCCAAACCAGAAAUGCCAGUGUCAUGUCCACAUUCCCGCUUCUUUGGAGAAAGGACCUGUCUCACACGUCCAGCCAGAGCUUCUGAGCUGGAGAUGAAACCCUGCGAAAGAGAAGCCCUGGUUUAUAAUCACACCAAGCUUGGGCAAGGAGGCCGGAGGAGGAUUACACAGAAGAAAACCAACCGUUCGAUGCCUUUCUUCUUCCAUUCCCAAUCAGAAGGUUGUUUCUGACCCAUUGAAAUAUUACCUACAAAGAAGACGGGAGCCUCCUGCAGCAGUCUUGAGUGAUCUGAGAGCUGAACCAAGGUUUGAGGCCCAUCUCCAGGUGGUCCUGAAUAUCCAUGCAUCCUGGGACCUUGUUAGGAUGAACUCACCAGAGGCGAGGUUCUGGGUUGCUCAAUGCAGAGACUCUUACCCAGGGUGUCAGCCUCUGAAAGAUACACGUGCCUGGGCCUCUUCCCUGAAGAUGGGCCCGGCAGUUCUGGAGGGAGGCCCCUGUGAUGAACCCUGUGAUGAGCCGCUGAUCCGAGCUUGGGCUGCGUCAUGGGACCAGCCACAAGGUUGCCUGACCUAUAAAGGUCACAGGAGUGCCUCAGGGAGACAGAAGCAGUUACAGCUGCAAGAUACCGUAUCAUCUUUGUUGGAGAGGAGCUAUAAUAGUCUAUAUUAAAGUUACUGUUCAGACAGAUGAUUCCAACAAAUUGCUUUCAUUACUUUAUUGGUAAUUUUAAGCACUACAGAACUUAGUUUUUUUUUUCUGGAAGAAAACUGGAAUUAAAAUAAUUGAUCCUUUAGAGAAAUAAAACAAAGGAGAAGGGAGUGUACAAAACAAAUAGAAAAAGAAUUCUUAGCAUACUUUCCUUUCCUGUAUUCUCACUGAGAAAUAAAAAGCAAAUGGGACAUUGAGAAGCAAAAUUAAUCCUGAUUAGGCUCGCUUUGGGACAAGCAACCACUUUGCAUGAUUACCCAUUGUUAGGUGUGAAACGGAGCCAAUGAUCUCUCAUUGUUGAGGAGAAAAGACCUGGAGACCACAGCUUAUCCAGUCUCGCUCCUGACCUGCAUCUGAACACCUGAAGGAAGAAACUUUAAGAAGAAAAAGACUUCAAGUGACAGAGGAGACAAAAGUCUCAAAGGUGCACAAUUGAAGAACUCAUGGUGUCUCAGGAUGGGUGUGAAAGUAACAAAUAUGAGAUCCCCUGACAACUAAACCCAGGCAUGUCCAGGAAUCCCAGGAUGCGGUGAAAGUUUUCACAGUGGAACUCACAGGAAUCCCCAGAUGCGGUGAAAGUUUUCUCAGCGGAGCUCACACCAGCAUUGUCUGGAAGAUUAAAUGUUGUUAUGCUUUGAGAUUGGCACUCAUGCCAUUCAUAUUUUUUUAUUAAGAAGUACAAUGAAAUUUAACUUAUUCCAUGUUUGACACCAAUGUAAUGACCAAAUUAAACUAGAUUUUCAAAAAUAAUCACAGGCCCUGCCCCACAAACUCCUCCUGGGCACAGGGAGAUGUGGGGCCAGUCAGUAGUGACUCCUCUCGGGUGCUGAUCCACCAUGCUGAAUUCAGACCGGUGCCAGUCCUCUGAGCAUCUCCCAAUUCCUAUGUGAUUUCCUGUCCCUAGUGUAUGAACAUGUUGGCCUUGAUGUGAUCCCACAAAUUAUGGGCCAUGACGCAUCUACCACUCUUGCCUAUUCUGAAGGGCUGCCUUUAGUUGUCUUGCAAAGAGCACUUAUACCUCUUCCCUACGGCUCAGGAGCCCUGGGUCUGGGGUGACAUGGCCAGAGACCUACCUGUCCUCCAGCCAUCCAAGACCAUGCUUCUGUCUGUAAGUUCCCCCAAUAAAACACCCUUUACUGACAG
rnacentral:lncRNA from 1 species